GAUAGGCAUGCAGUCGAACGAGAUCUGUAGCAAUACAGUGAAAGUGGCGAAAGGGAGAGUAAUACGUAGGUACCUGCCCUCGGGUCUGGGAUAGCUGCGGGAAACUGCAAUUAAUACCGGAUGACGUCUCUGGACCAAAGGUGUGAUUCCGCCAGAGGAUGGGCCUGCGUCCUAUCAGCUAGUUGGUGUGGUAAAGGCGCACCAAGGCGAAGACGGGUACGGGGUGUGAGAGCAUGCCCCCGCUCACUGGGACUGAGAUACUGCCCAGACACCUACGGGUGGCUGCAGUCGAGAAUCUUCCGCAAUGGGCGAAAGCCUGACGGAGCGACGCCGCGUGUGGGAUGAAGGCCUUCGGGUUGUAAACCACUGUCAGUGGGGAGCAAAUGCAUCGGGGUUCUCCCCGGUGUUUGAGCGAUCCGCAGAGGAAGCACAGGCUAAUUCCGUGCCAGCAGCCGCGGUAAUACGGAAUGUGCAAACGUUAUUCGGAAUCACUGGGCUUAAAGAGUCCGUAGGCGGCCUGUUAGGUGAGGUGUGAAAUCCCACGGCUCAACCGUGGAAUUGCGCUUCAAACCGGCAGGCUUGAGGAAGAUAGAGGUGGACGGAACUGAUGGUGGAGCGGUGAAAUGCGUUGAUAUCAUCAGGAACACCGGAGGCGAAAGGCGGUCCACUGGGUCUUUUCUGACGCUGAGGGACGAAAGCUAGGGGAGCGAACGGGAUUAGAUACCCCGGUAGUCCUAGCCUUAAACGAUGAGCACUAGACCGAAGAAUCUCCACGAUUUUUUGGUCGUAGCGAAGUGUUAAGUGCUCCGCCUGGGGAGUAUGGUCCGCAAGCUGAAACUCAAAGAUUGACGGGGGCUCCCACAAGCGGUGGAGAUGUGGCU
rnacentral:rRNA from 1 species